CCUACGGGGGGCAGCAGUGAGGAAUAUUGGUCAAUGUGCGAGAGCCUGAACCAGCCAAGUCGCGUGAAGGAUGACGGCCCUACGGGUUGUAAACUUCUUUUGUCAGGGAGCAAUUGGGUCCACGCGUGUGCUUAGCGAGAGUAACUGAAGAAAAAGCAUCGGCUAACUCCGUGCCAGCAGCCGCGGUAAUACGGGGGAUGCGAUCGUUAUACGGAUUUAUUGGGUUUAAGGGGUGCGUCGGCGGAAUCUCAAGUCAGGGGUAAAAAUUCGGGGCUCAACUCCGUCGUGCAGUUGAAACUGAUGUUCUUGAGUGGGCGAGAAGUAUGCGGAAUGCGUGGUGUAGCGGUGAAAUGCAGAGAUAUCACGCAGAACUCCGAUUGCGAAGGCAGCAUACCGGCGCCCAACUGACGCUGAAGCACGAAAGCGUGGGUAUCGAACAGGAUUAGAUACCCUAGUAGUC
rnacentral:rRNA from 1 species